rnacentral:rRNA from 1 species
CAGUAGCCGCGGGAAUACGUAGGUGGCAAGCGUUGUCCGGAAUUAUUGGGCGUAAAGGGCUCGCAGGCGGUUUCUUAAGUCUGAUGUGAAAGCCCCCGGCUCAACCGGGGAGGGUCAUUGGAGACUGGGAAACUUGAAUGCAGAAGAGGAGAGUGGAAUUCCACGUGUAGCGGUGAAAUGCGUAGAGAUGUGGAGGAACACCAGUGGCGAAGGCGACUCUCUGGUCUGUAACUGACGCUGAGGAGCGAAAGCGUGGGGAGCGAACAGGAUUAGAUACCCCCGUAGUCCCUGUCUCUUAUAC